CGCCCCCGCCCGCCAGGGGCGGCGGGCCCUACGAACCUUUGUAUCUCAACCACUAGAAAACCGUCUGAGGAAAAAAACAAAAUAAUCAAAACUUUCAACAACGGAUCUCUUGGCUCUGGCAUCGAUGAAGAACGCAGCGAAAUGCGAUACGUAAUGUGAAUUGCAGAAUUCAGCGAACCAUCGAAUCUUUGAACGCACAUUGCGCCCGCCAGCAUUCUGGCGGGCAUGCCUGUCCGAGCGUCAUUUCCCCCCUCACGCGCCCCGUUGCGCGCUGGUGUUGGGGCGCCCUCCGCCUGGCGGGGGGCCCCCGAAAGCGAGUGGCGGGCCCUGUGGAAGGCUCCGAGCGCAGUACCGAACGCAGUUCUCCCCUCGCUCCGGACGCCCCCCAGGCGCCCUGCCGUGAAAACGCGCAUGACGCGCAGCUCUUUUUA
rnacentral:misc_RNA from 1 species